AUUGAACGCUGGCGGCAGGCCUAACACAUGCAAGUCGAGCGGAUGACGGGAGCUUGCUCCUUGAUUCAGCGGCGGACGGGUGAGUAAUGCCUAGGAAUCUGCCUGGUAGUGGGGGACAACGUUUCGAAAGGAACGCUAAUACCGCAUACGUCCUACGGGAGAAAGCAGGGGACCUUCGGGCCUUGCGCUAUCAGAUGAGCCUAGGUCGGAUUAGCUAGUUGGUGGGGGAAUGGCUCACCAAGGCGACGAUCCGUAACUGGUCUGAGAGGAUGAUCAGUCACACUGGAACUGAGACACGGUCCAGACUACUACGGGAGGCAGCAGUGGGGAAUAUUGGACAAUGGGCGAAAGCCUGAUCCAGCCAUGCCGCGUGUGUGAAGAAGGUCUUCGGAUUGUAAAGCACUUUAAGUUGGGAGGAAGGGCAGUAAGUUAAUACCUUGCUGUUUUGACGUUACCGACAGAAUAAGCACCGGCUAACUCUGUGCCAGCCGCCGCCGUAA
rnacentral:rRNA from 1 species